rnacentral:lncRNA from 1 species
ACAACUUAGCAAUUCACAAUGACUCAGAAAUACAAGUUUACUUGGCUCAGCUAUUUUUGUGUAUCACAAGAGAUAUAAAUGGGUUUCUUUGGAAUAGUUUCAGGGUCAUUGAAAGCUAAUAUUUAUUUAGCUUUUAAUACUUAUUUUAUUCCCCAAACCCCUUUCUUUUUGGUCUCCUGAGAAUUACCAACAGCUCAUUAU